rnacentral:rRNA from 1 species
UACAGAGGUCUCAAGCGUUGUUCGGAUUCAUUGGGCGUAAAGGGUGUGUAGGUGGCGCCGUAAGUCGGGUGUGAAAUUUCGGAGCUUAACUCCGAAACUGCAUUCGAUACUGCGGUGCUUGAGGACGGGAGAGGAGACUGGAAUUCAUGGUGUAGCAGUGAAAUGCGUAGAGAUCAUGAGGAAGACCAGUGGCGAAAGCGAGUCUCUGGACAGUUCCUGACACUGAGACACGAAGGCCAGGGGAGCAAACGGG